AUAAAUAAUUGUGCAUCCAAGUGAGCGAGGACCGAGCAGCAAACUAUAGUAGUGAGGGUGAGGGAUAUGUGCAGUGGAGCCUGGUCUUCUCUCAUGUGCCACUGAUUGCGGCUAGGUUAUUACCAAUAUCUCUCUGCUGGCCGGGAUAGUGGGAUCUGAAUAACUUUAUAGCCUCAGCUCGAUCAAGAGCAGAUCUCUGAUCCCAAGCUGCCCAACAUCAUGGUGAACGAUGACCCUCUGGAUGGUGAAAACCCUAGAGCUCACACUGCGAAUAGCAUCCAUGAUAACAAGAGGGACCAAAUGUUCAACCUGUUUUCAUCCCAUGAUCAGUACAUCAAAAUGACGGUGUUUGACUUCGUCAUCCAAACCGCCACCAAAUCUUCAAGCCGACCCCGAUUGCAAGGACAAGCUAGCACGGUCGCUCCCGCAUAGCCUUUGAACUGGUGCUAUCCCGAUUGAGCUUUUCAUACCUCUCCUCUCUGCAGCCCAUUUUUUUUUCUGGUUUCUCCUACCAGAAUUAGCAUUCUUGACCUUGUAAGGCCUCUUCUUGACCUUGUAAGGCCCUGCCCCUGCGCUUGGCUCCUCCUUGCGCCUCUUGCCCGCUUCUUUCUUUUCGUGCGGGGAAUCAGUCUAACCAUUACCGUGUUUGCCAAGCUCCCGCAACCACCUAUUCCCUGCUCCCUUCUAUCCCUCCUGAGCUAGUAGCUUAUCCCAUGCAUGUAACCAUACAUGUUUGAUUUAUAUAAAGUGUUGGAUUAAUCUA